GACGAACGCUGGCGGCGUGCUUAACACAUGCAAGUCGAGCGGGAAGGCCCCUUCCGUGGUACACUCGCUGCGAACGGGUGAGUAACACUAGAGUAAGCUUCCCUUCACCUCGGGAUAACCACCGGAAACGGUGGCUAAUACUGAAUACGACUAGGUCUCCCAUCAGCUUCUGUUGGAGAGGCUUUGCGGUGAAGGAUGUUGUAGCGGCCUAUCAGCGUGUUGGUUGGGUAAUGGCCUAAGGAGGCUUCGACGGGUAGCCGGGCUGAGUGGCUGACCGGCCAAGCUGGGACUGAGACACGGCCCAGACUCCUACGGGGGGAAGCAGUGGGGAAUAUUGGAAGAUGGACGAAAGCAUGAUCCAGCAACGAAGAGUGAGGGAUGACGGCAUUCGGGUUGUAAAACUCUUUAAGUACCGACGAAGUGACCUGUCGGGUGGUGACGGUAGGUACAGAAGAAGGACCGGCCAACUACGUG
rnacentral:rRNA from 1 species